rnacentral:snRNA from 1 species
GUGCUCGAUUUGGCAACAUAUAUACUAAAAUUUGACAGAGAAUAUUAGCAUGGCCCCUUCACAAGGAUAACACAAAUUUGUAAAGCAUUCCAUAUUUUU